CCAUUUUUCAGAUGAGAACACUGAGGCUCGGAGAAGUUAACUGUCCUAUGGUCAUAUAGCCAGCAUACCUUGGAGCUGGAUUAAAACCAGAUGUGUCAGAUACUUUCUACUACCACAGUGCUGUCUUUGUGAAUAGCAGUUUCAUUUCAGUAUAGAUGACCAUGCAGCCUGCAAUUCAAGUUUGGUUUGGGGAAGAUCUGCCUCUAAGCCCACGGAGUCCUCUGACACCCAGACACGGACCAGGACUGGCUGAUGUUUGUCAGUAUGAUGAGUGGAUAGCUGUGAGGCAUAAGGCCACUUUGCUGCCCAUGCAAGAAGAUCUGUCUAUUUGGUUAUCUGGCUUAU